ensembl:lncRNA
UUUUAAUGGAAGGUUUUAUUGCUUCAAGAUAUUAUUUAACAAAAAACAUUUGAUCAUAAGCAAAUAUUAAGCUUUUGUCAACACAAUAAAAGAGCAAAACUGAUAAACCCAGAAUAAUUAUAAACAAUCAUGACCACAGGCCUAUCCCAGCUCUCAUUCACAUUAUAUUUACUUUAUUGUAUCAAAUAUUUAUCAGUUUAUUUUUUGGGGCAAGUAAAAUGUUUCAGACUUCUUUUAAAUUUAUUCUGAUCAUAACUUUAAUCUUUUGACAUUCAGACCUUCAUCCAGUUUCUUCUGACACUUGAGCUGUGAAGGGAAAUAUUUACCAAGUGUUUAUCUUCACUUUAUUGUUUUUACAUUAGAAAUUAUUUCCAUGUUAAAUUCUUUGUGUCUGAUUUGACAACACAGACAGGUGACACAGCAGUGUAGCUGAGGUCCAGUGGUUUAGUUUAAAUACACAUCAUCAUAAAUAGUUGAGCACAUGCAAAGUCAGCCACCUGGAGCCUUUUUGAUGACAGCAUUUAAGGACCUCCCUCCAAGAACAGCCUACCUGCUGGCUGAUCUAAUAACUCUCCAUACUCCCUCCUAUAUGCAUCAUUUUGUGCAGCUCUUUCACUGAAUCUGUUCUCCAGAAUCACAAUAGCAAGAAUAGUUUUUCAAACUGGGAAAUAUUCCAGUUUGAGAAAAUGAAAAACAGAAUCAAUUAUAUGUUAAACUAAAUUAUAAGUAGCUGCAAUAAAAAAGCUUUAAACUGAGGCUAAUUGUUUGUCUGUAGGUGAUAAAUGUCAUAAACUGUUUUAUGAACUGUGUUCAUCUGUUAGUCGCUGAGGUUCCAUCAACAGCAUCACUGCUGAUGUUUUUCAGCAGCAGAGGAGAUCUGUGGUGUGGUUGGCAGGGCUGGCAUGUGCCUGAAGCCUGGAGGAGACGACAUCAGCUGUGUCACCACUGGGGGGCGCUGUUGGUGGUGGGAAUAUGGGAAAUCCACUUCAGCAUAAUCAACUCCAUUCAUGUCAUCGUUAGUCUGACAUCAAACUUCAGACUCUAAAUUAAAUGAUAAAGUUCCCCUCAGGGUGUUGAUGAAGCAGAAAUGAACAAAAUAAUGAAAAUAUCCAAAACACUAAAGCAAAACAAAUCAACUGUACCACAAAUAACAAUAAUCAUCGUCUCUAAAAAUAAUACUUAAUAACAAAUGAAAGAUUUUAUUAUUGGACUGUUUUUAUCUAGCUGUACCUAAUAAACUGGGACCAGAGAGUCCACAUUGACUUUAUGCAUUCCUCAUCAUUAAUAUUAGCUGGCAGAAAGAGAUGAUAUAGUAAAAAUCAAAGAGCUUAAAAUCAGACCACAGUUUUACUUUGUUGUGAGCAGAGGUGGAGAGGCUGCAGAGGUCUAUGUUUACAUCUCCAUCUGGUUGGAGGCUUU